GCGCCAGGCAGGGACCAACAAGUACAAUAUUUUAACGUCUUUUGGUAUGACGCGGUCGGGGAUCGAACCCGCGACCUUCCGCUCUCCGGGCGGACGCUCUAACCACUACACGACGGAGGCGGUCCACACUAGUUCAUAGAAGUAUACAAGUGAAAAUACAACAUGGCCCGUAGUGAGUGUUCAGACUUCACAAAUCCGUAUGUGCACCCAGUCUGGGCAAUGUACGACGGGUAAUGUGAACGGCGGACUCAUUCCACAUGUGUCAGCGGUAAAGAAGUCUUAAUUCCGCAGAUUUAGCAAGACGGAUUCCGUAAAUUAUAGACUCUUCCUGGAUCCAGAUACAUACAGUGUAUGAAUCAUUUAUAAAUAACAAACUAUGUUGCUGU